AGAACAUAACUUUAUACAUAUGUCACAUAAACAGUAGUUUUGGUCUGUUUUUCAUUUUUGUAGCUGUCGUUGAUCGACAAAAAAUCACAUUAAAAGUCAGUUAGUAAUAACCUUUAUCUCGGGAUCUAAAAUCAAACGCAGGACUUGCUGGUAAAUCGGUAGAAAAUGGCUGUGAAGUGCUAGUUAAAUUCAUUAAAUUGGAAAAAGAAAUGGCAAAAAGUUAAUUGCUAUUGGUGAAACAUCGCUGGAGUGAUUCAAUAAAAUUUACAAAUUAAGUCGUAUGAGGAAUAUUAAAAUAAAGCUGGACUCAAGACACGAUAAUUUAUUUUGAUGCUGACAAAAUCUGUCAUUCGUUUGUUGGGGGUAGCACUGCUGGCGGCAUAAAUGAUAGCUUCUGCAGACAAGAAGGAUGCAGAAGCGAGCCAAACGACGAAUGCAACCAUUUGUAGAUAACGUGGUGAUGAUUCAAUCAAUUAGCAGUCCAAGAUUUUUAAACAAAAGUGAAGAAGUUAUGAUUUUAUCUGCAAUAAAGAAAAAGUCAUCAACUGUCUGUGCGGCUACGAAAAAGUGGAUCGUUAGAUGGCACAGCGUGAAUUAUGUUUGUAAUACCAGCACGGUAUCUGUAACAAAAUCGCUACAUAUGUCGCAACCCGCAAAAUGGUAGUGAGUCAAGAUUGGUUGUAUGAGGGCGACCAACCAGGUAUCAAAACUGAAACAUUCUACUAGCUUAAAAACAAAUCACAUUAUAGCGGGUAACUAGCUGGAAUUGAAAUGGUUCGUGCAUAGUUCGAUCGUCAGAAUCAACAUCGCAGAUAACAAAGACAAUCCGGAAAUUAAACUGUCGUCAGAGAAAUGGGGAAAGAGUCCUCUGCAAGGCGGUAAUGAUCAUCCAUCAAGAAUCGUAUCUCCUAACCAACCUGUUACAUCUGCCAACAGUUAUCUUCGUUCGGAACCAUUCCAAUACUUCCGAUAUGAUGAAGACUGAGUUUCUUGUCGCGGGCGAAUAGGCUACUCGCAGUUCGGAUUGUUUCGGAUUCAUCCAGGAUGAUGAAAUAAUCAUAGGCAGUUCCUGUGGCAGGAACAUUUUCAAAAGUUGUAUGCCAAACGUUAUGAUUCCUCCAUGGCCGAGAAAAACUUCACUUGAAAAUUUUUUGUUUGUUUUGAUACUUGAAAUAUAUGGAAUAAAAAAUAUGUUUUUGCUAUGAUCGCAUUGGGGCUCAUUAAUUUUUAAUUGUACUGUAUUUUCAAUAUAUACUCCAUCAAAAUUUGCAGACCGCCAGUUACCAGUAACCCAGUUUAAGUUCGAAUUAUCCGACAAGAAAAAACAACCGGGUGCGCCCGCGGAUGGUCGCCACAAAGGUGAUAAACUAACAUCGACCAGUUCCAAAAGCAUCAAUCAGUAAACCUCGCUGACAUCCUUCAUCGAUCUUACCAGCGCCCUGGAGGCAUCGACUCGCAUAGAUUUGGCUGAAGGUUUGUAAAUCGCAAUAUGGAAGAGUCACAACGGUGACCACAAACAAGCAUAUGCAACGGAUGCUCCAAACGGAUUUUUUCUCUAGAUUUUGCAACUUGAUCAGUGUCGCCAAUCAGUUGUUAGUCUAUCGGAAUUUUUUUCUAGUUCAUUACUGAGCGAAGAUUAUCUCCACUUGAGUUUAUAAUAUUUACAUUAAUUUGAAGGUGAUAGCAGAUAAGGAAUCUUGAUUAAGUGUCUAGGAACCAAUCUGUGUCUUGCAGCGAACUUAGAAAUGUUAAUUUAGCCAUUCUUGUAGCGUUAAGUCUAUAUCUGUUUUCACAAGUCCUGCCAGUCCGUGAGAACAUCCUUUCUGCCGGAACCGACGUCACCAUUCGUGAAAGGAAGUCUUUGGCAAUUGGAUGCAGAUGCGGAUACUCGCUUUUAAUCGCACUCCAUGCUUCGAGUGGGUCGGAUGAUCUGGGAAUCACUUUUUGGUGAAGAAAAUUUCUCAAUUCGCCUGAUACUCCGCCUGGUCGAUCAGGUUCCAAUU